GCACCCGUAGCUCAAUUGGAUAGAGCAUCUGACUACGGAUCAGAAGGUUUCGCGUUCGAGUCGCGACGGGUGCA
rnacentral:tRNA from 1 species